rnacentral:rRNA from 1 species
GAUGAACGCUGGCUACAGGCUUAACACAUGCAAGUCGAGGGGAAACGACGGGGAAGCUUGCUUCCCCGGGCGUCGACCGGCGCACGGGUGAGUAACGCGUAUCCAACCUGCCUCUGACUGAGGGAUAACCCGUCGAAAGUCGGCCUAAUACCUCAUGGCAUCGUCUGCGGGCAUCCAACGACGAUUAAAGAUUUCAUCGGUCAGAGAUGGGGAUGCGUCUGAUUAGCUUGUUGGCGGGGUAACGGCCCACCAAGGCGACGAUCAGUAGGGGUUCUGAGAGGAAGGCCCCCCACAGGGGACAUGAGACACGGACCAAACUCGUAGGGAGGGGAGGGGGGAGAAAUAGGGGUAAAGGGGCGGGGGCCUGACCCAGCCAAGUGGGGGGGGGGAGGCGGGCCUUUUGGGUUGUAAUCUGUUUUUAGGCGGGAAAAAAGUGGGGGAGUGGUCCUUCAUUGCGGGUACGGAAUAAAUAAGGCCCGGCUAAUCCCGUG